rnacentral:rRNA from 1 species
AUUGAACGCUGGCGGCAGGCCUAACACAUGCAAGUCGAGCGGUAGAGAGAAGCUUGCUUCUCUUGAGAGCUGCGGACGGGUGAGUAAUGCCUAGGAAUCUGCCUGAUAGUGGGGGAUAACGUCCGGAAACGGACGCUAAUACCGCAUACGUCCUACGGGAGAAAGUGGGGGCUCUUCGGACCUCACGCUAUCAGAUGAGCCUAGGUCGGAUUAGCUAGUUGGGGAGGUAAUGGCUCACCAAGGGGACGAUCCGUAACUGGUCUGAGAGGAUGAUCAGUCACACUGGAACUGAGACACGGUCCAGACUCCUACGGGAGGCAGCAGUGGGGAAUAUUGGACAAUGGGCGAAAGCCUGAUCCAGCCAUGCCGCGUGUGUGAAGAAGGUCUUCGGAUUGUAAAGCACUUUAAGUUGGGAGGAAGGGUCGUUACCUAAUACGUGGCGAUUUUGACGUUACCGACAGAAUAAGCACCGGCUAACUCUGUGCCAGCAGCCGCGGUAAUAC